rnacentral:rRNA from 1 species
AGAGUUUGAUCCUGGCUCAGGAUGAACGCUGGCGGCGUGCCUAAUACAUGCAUGUCGAACGAGGUGCUUUUGUAGCAAUACGGAAGUAUCCUAGUGGCGAACGGGUGAGUAACGCGUUGGUGACCUACCCCAAAGUGUGGGAUAACAGUCCGAAAGGAUUGCUAAUACCGCAUGUGGUUAUCAGAUUUAGAAACUGAUAUCUAAAGGAGCAAUUCGCUUUGGGAGGGACCUGCGUCCCAUCAGCUAGUUGGUGAGGUAACGGCUCACCAAGGCGACGACGGGUAGGGGACCUGAGAGGGUGACCCCCCACAAUGGAACUGAAACACGGUCCAUACACCUACGGGUGGCAGCAGUAGGGAAUAUUGCUCAAUGGGCGAAAGCCUGAAGCAGCAACGCCGCGUGUGCGAUGAAGGCCUUCGGGUCGUAAAGCACUUUUCUGAGAGAUGAGAAAGGACAGUAUCUCAGGAAUAAGUCUCGGCUAACUACGUGCCAGCAGCCGCGGUAAAACGUAGGAGGCAAGCGUUAUCCGGAUUCACUGGGCGUAAAGCGCGUGCAGGCGGUUCGGUAAGUUGGGCGUGAAAUCUCCUGGCUUAACUAGGAGAGGUCGUUCAAUACUACCGGACUUGAGAGUGGUAGAGGAAGAUGGAAUUCCCGGUGUAGUGGUGAAAUGCGUAGAUAUCGGGAGGAACACCAGUGGCGAAAGCGAUCUUCUGGACCAUUUCUGACGCUCAGACGCGAAAGCUAGGGUAGUAAACGGGAUUAGAGACCCCGGUAAUCCUAGCCGUAAACGAUGUAAACUUGGCGUCGGUGGCUUAAACUCCAUCGGUGCCGCAGCUAACGCGAUAAGUUUACCGCCUGGGGACUACGAUCGCAAGAUUAAAACUCAAAGGAAUUGACGG